UAUUAUAUAUUAUUUUUUCAGAACAUACAUUGCAUUUGGGUAACCAGUUUCUGUUGUUACUAUGCUACAGCUCCCAGUAUCCCCUAAGAGCAGUCACAUGGGUUGGGAUUCUGGGAGUUGUAGUUUAGUAGCACUACAAUUCUAGUAAUUGUGGUUAUUUGAUCAGCAUUGGAUCUUCUGCCUGUUCUUAUGGUUUCAAUUAUAUUGAAUUUAGUGUUGAAUUUGAUUGGUCCUUAUUAGCCUCAGCUACCUUGUUACUAAUAUGUAUGCUACUGUAUUUCUAUGGUAUGAUGAAGGCACGGCUAUGACAGCUAAGGCUAUUAUGUACUCAGGAACCAUAAGAUCGAGGAGAUAUUUGGGGUGAUUAAUCUCCGGCAGCCAUGUUGCUAAUGAAUCAUAUCAUUAUUUAUUAUGUAACUGAAUUAUGUAACGGCUUCGGCCAGCCGGGGGAAUGUACUGGUAUUUACGAAUUGAUAGGCAUCAAAUCCAUAUGGAUUUCUUAAUUUAAACUUUUACUAAUAAGCAAGUGAAUUCAUCUGAAACAGGAACCAUACUGGGAAUCUAAGUGCCACCCAUGGUUUGUAGGAGGCGAUACCCAGGCAAGCUCAGACAAGACCAAACGCUCACCUAAAUAUCAGUGCGACGCACAGCUGGGAGGGGCAUAUGUAAUGCCUACACACUUCCACUUAUGGAAAUGUAAUCAUCUUCUGGGAUAUUGCCCAACCACGGCUAUUUGUCUUAGUCCCACCGGUUUGGUUGACCAUCAUAGUUACGUUGUUGAGGUUCAUAAUCUUUUGAAGUCCUGUAGACUAAUAGUAAAUAAAGCAUCAGAGAGUUUAUGGUAGUAUCAGGGGCGUAACGAUAGGAGACCCCUCUGUCACGGGAGGUCCUAGGGAACAGGGGGCCCAGACCAUGGGCUUUUGCUUGCUCUUGGGCAAGUGGGUGGAGGGAGGCCCAGAUAGGGGCUACUGUGCAAACCUGGCCCCUCCAAAUAUUUUUUUGCAAGGGGGGACCGGCACAUCAUUCUUUCACCACUAUAUAGCAUCCCAUUAUGUAUUAAUCAUUUGCAACUAUUGGCCAGCCUUUCUCCCAGCUAUGUCUUCCUUCUCUGGACUACAGUGGCACCAUAUGAUUGUAGACAUAGACCAGGACUAAAAAAUCCCUAGAUAAUCCAAAAUGACUUGAGUUCUAUUCCCAUCUGGUCCUGAUGUCCCUCUCUUCCCAUAGGAUUAUACCCCCAAAUCAGUGAAAUUUGCUCUCCCCAUGAUGCCAAAUUACACAAUGGCUAAAAACACAAUGACUGAAACCCUCACGUGUCUAAUUUUAAUGACUAAGGAUUUGCAAAUGAAAGUAGGCACCUGAUUGGCUGCUGGAAAUUACAGCUCCAGUAGGCUGAUGUGGUCCUUGUCUGACGCAUUAGCUCCUAUGACAAUAUUUAUACCUACAAAUAAGUAUCAUGCUGCAACCUGUGGCAAUGUUUGGUAGAACAUCAGUUGUGUGCAUUCCAUCUGACGGUGAGUUCCAGGCUAUUUACUAUGGCGUAACUCACAUACAAUAUAAAAGCUUAACAAAGCAGUUUUAAUUAGUUAUUAGCUCCUGCUUUAUAAGGAAUGCCACUCCGAUACAUCACUAUCACUAAAAGAUGGUACAUAUGUAUAGAUAGGUAGAUACAAUGAUUAUGGCCAGAAUUACGAUUGAGCACGUGGCUAGUUGAUUAAUACGCCCUGCGCUAGUACAGCUGGGUGCCUAUGGGCAUGUCUUGUUUAUAUUUUUGAUAUUUUUGAUAUUGGUUCAUCUCUACUUUGGAUUUAAGCUGGUUAGUAGAUCUGGUCAUUUAGCAAAGUGAGGCAAAUCUGUCGCCAUCUUAUCCCUUGCCCACACAUGUGAUCACCUUGGGGACUGUUGGGUGAGGAGUUGAAAAGCUCCUAACCCAACAGCAUUUUUUCAUCUUUCCUGAUCAAUGUAGGACCAAACCCUGAUCAGAUAUCAAUCAUGGAGGUCAAUGUGUUGGGCCAAUAAAUGGACCAUUAAGCUGCUAUGAUCAUUCCAUAAUGAAAUAAUAGGAGACAGGAAUUCAGUAUUUGAUUGGUUUUCUGAAUAUGGUUGUGUUGGCCAACCUAGUUUUUAUCCCUGCUUUAAAGAGAGGUUGCAAUAAGAUGUUGACUCAAGUCAAGAGUGGCCAUGUUGGUAGGCAAUAUUAGCCCAUGAAGGAACAGUGUAGGCUUGAACUAAAGGUGGCCAUGUUGGUAGGCAAUAUUAGCCCAUGAAUGGACAGUGUAGGCUUGAACUAAAGGUGGCCAUGUUGGUAGGCAAUAUUAGCCCAUGAAUGGACAGUGUAGGCUUGAACUAAAGGUGGCCAUGUUGGUAGGCAAUAUUAGCCUUGGGAUGGUCACUGUAGGCUUACUGUAAGUCAGUAGGCCAGCUGCACUGCAGGUAUUCCACUGAUAUGGCCCUUGGGGCAUAUACCUGUGUAACUCAGUAUCUAGUAGAAUUAAGUCUAAAACAACUGGACGUAACUCAGUCUGUUAGCCAUGACAAUUUUUUUUAAAAUAUAUUCUUUAUUUGCAUCAACAUGUGACCAUCAAGCAUAUUCCUGGUAACAUCAGGACGACAUAAUGAGAAUUCUUAUGUACACAGACCUAUCUUCUCUUGUUCUAGGCUAUUGUCUAGUAGAUGACCACA